rnacentral:rRNA from 1 species
GACGAACGCUGGCGGCGUGCUUAACACAUGCAAGUCGAACGGAAAGGCCCUGCUUUUGUGGGGUGCUCGAGUGGCGAACGGGUGAGUAACACGUGAGUAACCUGCCCUUGACUUUGGGAUAACUUCAGGAAACUGGGGCUAAUACCGGAUAGGAGCUCCUGCUGCAUGGUGGGGGUUGGAAAGUUUCGGCGGUUGGGGAUGGACUCGCGGCUUAUCAGCUUGUUGGUGGGGUAGUGGCUUACCAAGGCUUUGACGGGUAGCCGGCCUGAGAGGGUGACCGGCCACAUUGGGACUGAGAUACGGCCCAGACUCCUACGGGAGGCAGCAGUGGGGAAUAUUGCACAAUGGGCGGAAGCCCGAUGCAGCAACGCCGCGUGCGGGAUGACGGCCUUCGGGUUGUAAACCGCUUUCGCCUGUGACGAAGCGUGAGUGACGGUAAUGGGUAAAGAAGCACCGGCUAACUACGUGCCAGCAGCCGCGGUGAUACGUAGGGUGCGAGCGUUGUCCGGAUUUAUUGGGCGUAAAGGGCUCGUAGGUGGUUGAUCGCGUCGGAAGUGUAAUCUUGGGGCUUAACCCUGAGCGUGCUUUCGAUACGGGUUGACUUGAGGAAGGUAGGGGAGGAUGGAAUUCCUGGUGGAGCGGUGGAAUGCGCAGAUAUCAGGAGGAACACCAGUGGCGAAAGCGGUUCUCUGGGCCUUUCCUGACGCUGAGGAGCGAAAGCGUGGGGAGCGAACAGGCUUAGAUACCCUGGUAGUCCACGCUGUAAACGGUGGGUACUAGGUGUGGGGUCCAUUCCACGGGUUCCGUGCCGUAGCUAACGCUUUAAGUACCCCGCCUGGGGAGUACGGCCGCAAGGCUAAAACUCAAAGGAAUUGACGGGGCCCCGCACAAGCGGCGGAGCAUGCGGAUUAAUUCGAUGCAACGCGUAGAACCUUACCUGGGUUUGACAUGGAUCGGGAGCGCUCAGAGAUGGGUGUGCCUCUUUUGGGGUCGGUUCACAGGUGGUGCAUGGCUGUCGUCAGCUCGUGUCGUGAGAUGUUGGGUUAAGUCCCGCAACGAGCGCAACCCUUGUUCACUGUUGCCAGCACGUUAUGGUGGGGACUCAGUGGAGACCGCCGGGGUCAACUCGGAGGAAGGUGGGGAUGACGUCAAGUCAUCAUGCCCCUUAUGUCCAGGGCUUCACGCAUGCUACAAUGGCUGGUACAGAGAGUGGCGAGCCUGUGAGGGUGAGCGAAUCUCGGAAAGCCGGUCUCAGUUCGGAUUGGGGUCUGCAACUCGACCUCAUGAAGUCGGAGUCGCUAGUAAUCGCAGAUCAGCAACGCUGCGGUGAAUACGUUCCCGGG